rnacentral:tRNA from 1 species
GGAGAGGUGGCUGAGUGGUUUAAGGCACCGGUCUUGAAAACCGACGAGGGUGUGAGCCCUCCGCGGGUUCGAUCCACCUCUCCACCA